GAGCACCUCUGGUGCCGAUUAAUGUUCAGCUCUUUAACUUUGGGCUUUCGGGUGGCCUUGUAACUGAUAUAAUGCAAGGGAGAAUGACACCAUGUGAUGUCCAGGGCUGGAUCAGAAGAUCACAUGGCAGCCCUUGCCUUGUUUCUUGGAACGCAGCCUAGGUGGGUGCUGCACAUGGGACUCUCCUCCCCGGACCCAGCAGCCAUGCUGUGAGAAGCCCAGGCCAUACAGAGAGUCCUUGUGCCCUUGCUCUGGGUGACCACCUCAGCUGACUGCCCUGUGAGUCAUUCUGAGUCCUACUGCAGAUGCUGGGAGCCCCUGCCAACGUCUGACUGCAACAGCAUGGGGGGCCACAAGAGAGAAUUGCCACUUCCUGAAUUCCCGACCACAAACUUACUGCCACGUAAUAAAAUGGGUGCUUUUAGAUGCUCAA